UGCGUAGGCGGUUCCCUAAGUUUGGUGUGAAAUCUCCCGGCUCAACUGGGAGGGUGCGCCGAAAACUGGGGAGCUAGAGUGUGGGAGAGGAGAGUGGAAUUCCUGGUGUAGCGGUGAAAUGCGUAGAUAUCAGGAGGAACACCGGUGGUGUAGACGGCUCUCUGGACCAUUACUGACGCUGAGGCACGAAAGCGUGGGUAGCAAACA
rnacentral:rRNA from 1 species